GGAGAGAUGGCAGAGCGGUCGAAUGCGUCGGUCUUGAAAACCGAAACCUCGUGCGAGCGGGGUCGUGGGUUCGAAUCCCACUCUCUCCUCCA
rnacentral:tRNA from 1 species